GAGUUUGAUCGUGGCUCAGAUUGAACGCUGGCGGCAUGCCUUACACAUGCAAGGUCGAACGGCAGCAUGAUCUAGCUUGCUAGGUUGAUGGCGAGUGGCGAACGGGUGAGUAAUACAUCGGAACGUGCCCUGUAGUGGGGGAUAACUAGUCGAAAGAUUAGCUAAUACCGCAUACGACCUGAGGGUGAAAGUGGGGGACCGCAAGGCCUCAUGCUAUAGGAGCGGCCGAUGUCUGAUUAGCUAGUUGGUGGGUAAAGGCCCGACCAAGGCGACGAUCAGUAGCUGGUCUGAGAGGACGAUCAGCCACACUGGGACUGAGACACGGCCCAGACUCCUACGGAGGCAGCAGUGGGGAAUUUUGGACAAUGGGCGAAAGCCUGAUCCAGCAAUGCCGCGUGUGUG
rnacentral:rRNA from 1 species